AGAUAAUCAUAGCCGGGAGUCAGACAGUGUGAGAUAAGUUUCAUUGUCGAAAGGGAAACAGCCCAGAUCUACGACUAAGGUCCCAAAGUUCAAGUUAAGUGGAAAAGGAUGUGCAAUUGCGUAGACAACCAGGAUGUUGGCUUAGUAGCAGCCAUUCAUUCAAAGAGUGCGUAAUAGCUCACUGGUCGAGUGAUUGUGCGCCGAAAAUGUAACGGGGCUAAACUUGACACCGAAGUCUAGGCAGAAGGAAACUUCUGGGUAGGGGAGCAACGUGUACGGGCAGAAGCAGAAGCGGAAGCGACUGUGGACUGUACAGGAGAGAGAAUGCCGGCAUGAGUAGCGAGAGCAAAGUGAGAAUCUUUGCCGUCGAAAGCCUAAGGUUUCCUGAGGAAGGCUCGUCCUCUCAGGGUAAGUCGGGACCUAAGCCGAGGACAAUAGUCGUAGGCGAUGGACAAUCGGUUAAUAUUCCGAUACCGCCGAGCAACCGGAUGCAGUGACACAGAAGGAUAGGCAGAGCGUGGCGAUGGUAGACCACGUCCAAGCAGUGAGGCUGUUGUGUAGUGAAGUACGCACAACGGAAGGCUGGGCUGUGAUGGGGAACGAUUACGAUCGGUAAGCUGCUGAAUUCACGCUGGCGAGAAAAGCUGCUACGAAGCGAAGGCGCCCGUACCGCAAACCGACACAGGUAGGCGAGGAGAGAAUCCUAAGACGAGCGGGAGAACCCUUGUUAAGGAACUCGGCAAAAUGACUCCGUAACUUAGGGAGAAGGAGUGCCCAGGAAUGGGCCGCAGAGAAUAGACCCAAGCGACUGUUUACCAAAAACACAGGUCUGUGCGAAGUAGAGAUACGACGUAUACGGGCUGACACCUGCCCAGUGCCGGAAGGUUAAGGGGAAAUGUUAGGGCAACCGAAGCAUGGAACUUAAGCCCCGGUGAACGGCGGCCGUAACUAUAACGGUCCUAAGGUAGCGAAAUUCCUUGUCGGGUAAGUUCCGACCCGCACGAAUGGUGUAACGAUUUGGGUACUGUCUCAACAAGGGACCCGGCGAAAUUGUAGUAUGUGUGAAGAUGCACAUUACCCGCGAUAGGACGGAAAGACCCCGUAGAGCUUUACUGUAGUUUAACAUUGGAUUCCGGUAACAUAUGCACAGGAUAGGUGGGAGGCGGAGAAGCAGUGAUUUCGGUUGCUGCAGAGCCGACGUUGGGAUACCACUCUUGUGUUACUGGGGUUCUAACCUGUGGCCGUGAUCCGGCACAGGAACAGUGUUAGAUGGGCAGUUUGACUGGGGCGGUCGCCUCCAA
rnacentral:rRNA from 1 species